AGACGGCCUUCGGGUUGUAAACCUCUUUUGUACGGGAAGAAGGUGGUAAAGGUUAAUAUCCUUUAUAAGUGACGGUACUGUACGAAUAAGUCCCGGCUAACUCCGUGCCAGCAGCCGCGGUAAUACGGGGGGUGCAAGCGUUAUUCGGAUUUACUGGGCGUAAAGCGCGCGCAGGCGGUUUUUU
rnacentral:rRNA from 1 species